AGUGAACGCUGGCGGCAGGCCUAACACAUGCAAGUCGAGCGGCAGCGCGGGGGCAACCCUGGCGGCGAGCGGCGGACGGGUGAGGAAUUCGUCGGGAUCUGCCUUUUUGUGGGGGAUAACGUAGGGAAACUUACGCUAAUACCGCAUACGUCCUACGGGAGAAAGUGGGGGACCGCAAGGCCUCACGCAGAAAGAUGAGCCGACGACCGAUUAGCUAGUUGGUGGGGUAAAGGCCCACCAAGGCGACGAUCGGUAGCUGGUCUGAGAGGAUGAUCAGCCACACUGGGACUGAGACACGGCCCAGACUCCUACGGGAGGCAGCAGUGGGGAAUAUUGGACAAUGGGCGCAAGCCUGAUCCAGCCAUGCCGCGUGUGUGAAGAAGGCCUUCGGGUUGUAAAGCACUUUUGUCCGGAAAGAAAUCCCUGGAGCUAAUACCUUCGGGGGAUGACGGUACCGGAAGAAUAAGCACCGGCUAACUUCGUG
rnacentral:rRNA from 1 species